rnacentral:rRNA from 1 species
AGUUGUUGCUGGCCCCUGUACGGGGGCAUGUGCACGCUCUGUUUACACAUCCACUCACACCUGUGCACCCUCUGUAGUUCUAUGGCCUGGGGGGCUCUGUCCUCCUGUGCUGUGGUUCUACGUCUUUACACACACACUGUAAUAAAGUCUUAUGGAAUGUACGUCGCGUUUAACGCAAUGAAAUACAACUUUCAGCAACGGAUCUCUUGGCUCUCGCAUCGAUGAAGAACGCAGCGAAAUGCGAUAAGUAAUGUGAAUUGCAGAAUUCAGUGAAUCAUCGAAUCUUUGAACGCACCUUGCGCCCUUUGGCUAUUCCGAAGGGCAUGCCUGUUUGAGUAUCAUGAACACCUCAACUCUCACGGCUUGCCUGUGAUGAGCUUGGACUUUGGGGGUCUUGCUGGCCUGUGGUCGGCUCCUCUCGAAUAAAUUAGCUCGCCGGUGUUUGGUGGGGUCACAGGUGUGAUAACUAUCUACGCUUGCGGUUUUCCACCGGGUAACCUUCAGCAAUGGAGGUUCACCGGAGCUUACAAAUGUCUCUCCUCAGUGAAGACAGAUUUUGACCGUUUGAUCUCAAAUCAGGUAGGACUACCCGCUGAACUUAAGCAUAUCAAUAAGCGGAGGAAAAGAAACUAACAAGGAUUCCCCUAGUAACUGCGAGUGAAGCGGGAAGAGCUCAAAUUUAAAAUCUGGCGCGCCUCUGGCCGUCCGAGUUGUAGUCUGGAGAAGCGUUUUCCGUGCUGGAC